CAGCUUUAUCAGCAAUGAGAAGUAGCAACAGCUCUUAGCAAUGGGUGAUGUUUUAGCGUAUGAAGCUGAGCUACUUGGACUAGUGAAAGAGUAUUUGGAUUUUGCUGGAUUUCAAGAAACAGUGAAAGUACUUAAAAAGGAAUGUAAAAUAAAAGGGAAGCCACUAAUUAAACCAGCAGAUACUUCCUCAGAAGGUUCAUUGCCUGUUCAGGAGGAAAUACUUAGAGCAUUUGAAGAUGGUGAUCAGAAAGUUUUUUUCCAGCUCUGGGAGGAGCAUAUUUUGUCUUUACUCCAUGAAAGUGAUCCAGUUGCUGAGAACCUGGAGUUCUAUCUCCACAUCUACUUUGCCACCUUCCUCUUGAAACAAACUAUGGGAAAACCUGACAAAGCUGAGCUUGAGGAAAGGAUUUCUUAUUUCAAGGCAUACCUGGAAACAAAAGGAGCUGCACUGAGCCAGACUACAGAGUUUCUUCCCUUCUAUGCUUUGCCUUUUGUUCCAAACCCCAUGGUACAUCCUUCAUUUAAAGAAAUUUUCCAGGAUUCUUGGACAUUGGAUUUAAAGGCAAGAUUGGAAAAGUUUCUGUCUCUGACUCUCAAAUCCAGACAGACUCCUCGGCUUCUCACUAUAUUUAAGGAGAGUGGGCAGUGCAACAAAGAAAUGAUGCAACAUCUUCAGCAGCAGUUAGUGAAGCGUGAGCAGAGGUACAUGACCAACCUGAAACGAGUUCACAAAUUGCAGAUGGACUACCGUAAUCUCCUUGGAGUCACUGCAGAGCUGGUGGAUUCUCUGGAGGCCACAAUCACUGGCAAGAUGAUUACACCAGAGUAUCUUCAAAGUGUUUUUUCUUGCUUGUUUAGCAAUCAUUUGAAACAAACUGUAGCACACCAUAUUGACUUCUCAAGGCCUGGAACUGGAUAUUACUCUAUGAGCCCUUGUGAUGACGGAUAUGCUUCCACACUGUUAAGAGCAUCUUUAGCCUCUAUUAACAUCAGCUGCACUGAACGAGGAGAGAGAGUUUUGAUGAAUACCUUUCCAUUUGCAUUUAGAAAGUUCCAGGAUGUGCCAUUGUUGCCCUCUUUGGAUUAUGAGAAGCUGAAGAAAGAUUUGAUUACAGGGAGUGAUCGUCUCAAGGCCCUCUUACUGCAGGCUCUGCGCUGGCGCUUGACAACAUCAUAUCCUGGAGAACAGAGAGACACUAUCAUGCAAGCCUACAUCAGUAAUGACCUCCUAGAUUGCCACAGCAACUGUCAGAGAAGUGUCCUCCAAUUAUUAUAUUCUAAGAGUGAGGUAGUCAGACAGUAUAUGGCAAGGCUCAUCAAUGCUUUUGCUUCACUGAUAGAAGGUCGUGCCUACCUUUCUCAGAACCCAACAUUGCUGCAAAUGCUGGAGGACAGACUGAAAGCUGAAGACAAGGAUUCUCUUACAUGGGAGAAUGUUCUGGGGGCUCUGCAGAAAUUCAGCCUCAGGCGUGCACUGCAGUCAGCAAUGAUCAAAGAUGGGCUGAUUUUCUGGCUGGUUGAUGUUCUAAUAGACCCAGAUUGCCUGUCUGAUUACAACCUGGAGUAUUGUGCUGCCUUGCUCAUGAAUCUUUGUCUGCGGAGUGCAGGGAAGAAAAUAUGUGCAAGUAUCCCAAACCACAUGCUCAGAGUUCUUUCUGGUCUUCUUGACCAUGAGAAUCCUAAGAUUCAGUCAUAUGUGAAUGGAGCACUGUACAGUAUUCUGGCCAUCCCUUCUGUGCGAGAAGAAGCCAAAGAAAUGGGAAUGGAAGAAAUUCUGCGCUGCUUUAUCAAGGAAAGAAAUGAAGAGAUGGUUCGGCAGAUUGAAUUUGUUAUCAAGCAACUCAAUUCAGAAGAGCCAUUCAAUGAUAAUAUUGUGUCUGAUGAUGAUGAGGAAGAGGAGUAUGAGGAAGAGGACAGUGACAUCCUGGAGCCUGAUCUGGACAAAGAUGAGGUUUUGCUGCCUCAGAUGGGAGAGCUUUCAGGAGAGAAGCUGCUAACAACUGAGUACUUGGGAAUAAUGACUCACACUCCAAAAAUCAAGAAGAAGCAAUUUGCUGGUGUCCAUCAGAGUAUAGAUGAGCCUCUCCAGAGACCUGUGACACCAGGUUAUCACAGAACUGCAUAUCUAAUGCCAGAAAACGGUACCAAUUCUUGUCACAAGAGGGAUGAAAAGCUGCAGUCUCCACCAAGUGGUCCUUCUUCCAUUUGUGGUGGGAGCCAGUCCAGCAUUUCUGACUUCUGCAUUUCCCCCUCAUCAGUUGAAAUGAAGCCAUCUGAAGUAUUUGCAUCAGCCCAUAGAAUGGACCAACACAUCCCAGCUGGUGAUACCUUGUCUGCUCAAUCUGCUGACUUCACUGAGGACAAAGCAAAUGGUCCAUCACAUAGCGAGUUUGCCUUAGCCUUCACCAGCAAACCCAAGAUCCCUCGCACUCCUGACGGGCAGGGCACCAGCCCUAGAAAGGGAAAGGUCCCAGCCAUUGCCCCCCAGUUCUCUCAGUCUGAACCCCGACAAACAAGCCAUCCAAGCUCCUCAGGAUCAUCCACAAGGAGCAGACAGAACAUUUGUUCAUCCCACUGUGUAACUUGAAGUCGGAUCCCUGGGUGUGUCUACACUGCAGCUGAAUGUAGAGCAGAUGUCAGGCAGCUCAGGAGAUGGCUCAGGGCAGCUUGGCAGCCAGUCCUACAGGAAGUGAGAACAGUUCCUUUCCUCGAGAAUCACCUCUCACAUUGUUGAAGGACAGAGCCAGCUUCCUGUAAUAAGGUUUACAGGUGACCUACAGAGGAGAGUGAGGUUGUUGACACUGCAGGCCUUGCAGGGAUUCAGAAUUAUCUGAUGGGAUGUGUCUGUGGUCUCUAAAGCUGGCUAAGACAAGGGCCUUGUUAUUAGAAUUUGAGGUCUCAGCAGCAGCCCAGGACUGACAUAGGAGAUGGAUAUUCUCUGAUAGUUUACUCUACAGUGACAUUGCCACCUUGAGAAGAAACUCUUGCUCUCUGCCUUCUGUGUCAGAGUAAAUGGCCUUUGGAAACAGAAUGUAGGCUCAGCCCAGGAGUCUUACCAAGCAACUGUAUUUUUUACUUACUGCUUGCUGAAGCAGCCUGCCAAUUGCUUUUUAAAAAAUGUUGCCUGUAUGACUGGGUUGGGAGGUAUCCGUGUUCAAGGGAUCUGCAUGAAGAGGGACAGUGUCUGCCACAUGUACAGAGCCUUCCUGCCCAGAGCAGUCCUGCGUGGGGUGAGAUCUGCAUGGCCUCCAGACCCUGAAGAGCUUCUGGGUGACCUAUAGCAGAUGAAAAACACUGUUACUGUGCCCAAGGCAGCAUCCGUGCUCACCUCUGAGGUCCUUAUCUGCAGCAAUUACUCCUAUUCCUUCUUUCUACAUUUUUUUCCUUAAUUCUACUGUUUAACGUUUGUGGAAUGAAAAAUGUCUUUUUUCCCCCCUGGAAUGAAGGAAGAGCUUUGCUUCUUCAUUCAUAGAAGAAACCAUGAGAAUGUGAACAGAUCAAAAGCAACUUUCUCUUUACAUGUAACUAUGCUCCAUCUUCUUUGGUCUUUGUUACUUUUUUUAUGUUCUUCAGAGCAAUGACUGCUUAUGUCUUUGUGGAAUUUGUGUUGGUCUUUGGUGCAUAUGAAGUGCUGGCUAGGCAAGAGAGAUCAGGAAUCCUUCCACUAAAUAAAAAGCAGCAGUUAGUUCUGCCAGUGAAUUACAAAGCUAGUCUGUUUGUUGUUCUUUCUCUCAACAGUAACAGUGACCAGGAAACGCUAAAGUCUUCACUGGGGGUUGGCUUUUCAGUAACACCCCCUCAUAUCACAGCU